GUUACAUUGGGAUGGGGCCACCCAGCCAGUAUAGUGUUACAGUAGACAGGGGUUAUGGGGCCACCCAGCCAGUAUAGUGAUACAGUAGACAGGAGUUAUAUUGGAAUGGGGCCUGUAGUUGCAUUCAGCCCGAAUUUGUUGUGGAAGGAAGUCAUUCUUCCAGGAACAUUUGUAACAGUGGUACAUGACAUCAGACCACAGCAAGGGGAAAUAUGUUUGAUUCCAGAGGGGAACACUCUGGCACAUUUCCAAACUAAGUUUCCCCACCAACCUAAAGAUGAAGAUAAAGUUGUGUAUGAAGCUGCAGUAUUGUAGACUGAAGAUCAAUGCAGGGUAGGGAUCAGCCAGCCCCAUGGACACAAAUACCAAAUUGCCGCUCGUGGUUUGGUUUCCCCCUAUAAAGUAAUCCAUGGGACUAGUGACUGACAGAAAUAAAUAACUCUCAGGCCAGGGUCAUUUAACCACACCUACCAAAUAACACACUUUAAACGAUAUUAGUCAGAGAGAGUACUGAGGUAGUACCUGACCUGUCAUUAGCUGAGCUAAAAUGAGAGAGAGUGGAAGAGAGAGUGGAGGAAAGAGAGAGUAGAGGAGAGACUAGAGUAAAGAGAGGAAGAGAGAGUAGAGGUAAGAGAGGAAGAGAUAGUAGAGGAGAGAGGAAGAGAGACUAGAGUAAAGAGAGGAAGAGAGAGUAGAGGAGAGACUAGAGUAAAGAGAGGAAGAGAGAGUAGAGGAGAGAGUAGAGGAGAGACUAUAGAGUGAAGAGAGAGUAGAGGAGAGAGUAGAGGUAAGAGAGGAAGAGAGAGUAGAGGUAAGAGAGGAAGAGAGAGUAGAGGAGAGACUAGAGUAAAGAGAGGAAGAGAGAGUAGAGGAGAGACUAGAGUAAAGAGAGGAAGAGAGAGUAGAGGAGAGACUAGAGUAAAGAGAGGAAGAGAGAGUAGAGGAGAGACUAGAGUAAAGAGAGGAAGAGAGAGUAGAGGUAAGAGAGUAGAGUAAAGAGAGGAGGAGAGAGUAGAGGUAAGAGAGGAAGAGAUAGUAGAGGAGAGAGGAAGAGAGACUAGAGUAAAGAGAGGAAGAGAGAGUAGAGGAGAGAGUAGAGGUAAGAGAGGAAGAGAGAGUAGAGGAGAGAGUAGAG
rnacentral:lncRNA from 1 species